ensembl:lncRNA
AGCAAGUGAGUGUUGCAGUUCAUUUGAAACGAUUGUCACUGGAAUUGGUUUUGCAAGGCACUGAGAGAGUGAUGGCCCCAGUCAUUAUGUCUCUGCCCGCUUAGCAUGCUGGUAAUUAGGGACGGAGAGAGAGGGAGAGCAAGGAAAAGAGAAAACGAGAGGAGAGGAGAGGAAAGGAAAGGAAAGGAAAGGAAAGGAAAGGAAAGGAAAGGAAAGGAAAGGAAAGGAGACGAGGGGAUAUGAGAAGGAGAAAAGGAGACUAAAGUGAGAAGAGGCUAGAAGAGAUGAGAUGAGAGAAGACAAGAUGAGGACAGGAGGAUUGGGAAAGAAUCAGAUGACAAUAAAUGAGAUGAGCAAUGGAGAGGAAAAUAGACAAAAUAUGGGGAAGUGAAAGACGAGAUGAGAAGAGAUUGGACAAGAGGCUAUGAGGAGGAGACAAAGGGAGAAAAUUGAGACAAGGUGAGUGAAGACUAGAUGAGAGAUGAAAAGAGACUAGAGAGAGACAAAGAUACAAAAUAAUGGAAAACAAUGCAGGAGAAAAGGAGGUACAGGAUGAGAUGAGAAAGGAGGCGAUGAGAAUAGGUGAGAAGGAAAGGCAAAAAAGAAAAUGAGACAAGAGGAGAGGAAGAAAAUUAAGAGGAAUGGAAAGGAGAGAAGAGCAUUUGAGAUAAUGAGAGAGGAGAUGAGAGGAUUGGGGAAGAAAAGAGAAAAGAUAAAGGGAGAGAAAGGAGAUGAGAGAAAAGUAGAGGUGGAAAGGAAAAGUGAGAAAGAGGAAAGGAAAAGGGAAGAAGAUAAGAGAAGAAGAGGAGAAGGGAGGAAAGAUGAUGACAUUAUGAGAUGAGGGAUUAUGAGAGGAGAUGGGAGGAAAAAGAGGAGACAAAAAGAGAUGAAAGAUUAGGAAAGGAGCUGAGAAAAGAUUGUGGGAGAGGAGACAAGGAGGCAAGAGGAGAGGAAAGAAGAUGAGAAGAAAAUAAAAAAACAUGAGACAGAAGACGAAGAGAAGAAAGUGAAUGUGAGAAAGUAAGUGAGUAAAGUGAGGCAAUAUAAUAAGAUACAAAUAAGUUUGUUUGAAUACAAAACAUUACAGUACAGCUGCCCUGUAAUAGGCUGCCUCAGGAUGAAGCUGCUCACCUGAAAUGGACCAAUUAUUCUGUUUUUGAGAUUGUGCCUUCAGUCGAGUAAUCCAGCAUGUCUUUUGGAUUCUGCUGCAUCAAUAAUGUAUGCUGGGCGGUGUAUAAUUUAUGUAAGUGGACAUGCAAUCACCUCAAAUUAAAGUGCAUGAGCGGAGGUCAGGUUGCGUGUAUGUUUAUAUGGAACAGUGCAGGCAAAGAAGAGGCCAAUCCAGUGCAUUCAAGUGCCAAGCGCAUCUCGUUCUCUCACGUUUUUCCCCACUUAGCUCAUUCCUCCCUCUCUUUCUCUCUCGCACACACAUAAAUAUAAAAAACUCCUAGUUACUGCUGGCUUAGCUUAGGCUGGAGACACAUGGCUCACCAGUGACUGAGACUCACAAAGCAGGAGGCAUUAAGACAUCAAUAAUUAAUUAAACCAACAGGCUCUCAUAGAUACCUACAGAGGAGGAC